AAGGCGGAAGUGUUCGCCGACCCAAGUAGGCGGAGAAAGCAGAGGAGGACCGGCGGGCCAAGCUUUCCUAGCCUGACAGCAGCCAUUUCGGAACGUACGUCCCAGCCCUCUUUAGCUACUUAGCGCCUCUGGGCCCGAGAACACCUGCUCCUUGGCUCAGUCUGGCGCCACCGGCAUCACGGAACUGUACUUCCCAGAGACGUCACACCGGGAGACUUCCGAUUCCCGCUCUUGAGAUUGGACUCUCACGUGCAGGAGCCAGUCCUCGCUGGGCUCUAGCGGGCUUCUGAUGGAGGAGCUACUCCUCUGGGAGGACAGAAAUUAGCAGCAGCCUCUGUCACCAUCCAAAGAUUACAACCCAUGAAACCAUUGAAUUUGUGCCUUGUAUCAGAAAGCAAAGGAGAAUGAAAAAGCACAGCUAACAUUGCUUGAGGAUCUAGGCGAUUAAUUCUUUAGACUGUCAUCAUGGGUAUCCGAGGACUAAUGAGUUUUGUGGAAGAUCAUAGUAAUGAGUUCUUCACUGAUUUGAAGUUGCGGGACACAAAAAUUGUCAUUGAUGGUUAUGCUCUUUUCCACCGUCUUUGCUUCAGUUCAAACUUGGAUCUCCGGUAUGGAGGGGACUAUGAUUCUUUUGCAGAUGUUGUACAAAAAUUCUUUGAAUCACUGUUUGCUUGUAAUAUAUGCCCAUAUGUUGUAUUAGAUGGAGGAUGUGACAUUUCAGAUAAAAAGCUUACAACUUUAAAGGAUAGAGCUAGAGAGAAGAUCCAGAUGGCCCAUUCCCUUUCUGUUGGUGGGAGUGGGUACGUAUGUCCCUUACUCAUCCGGGAAGUAUUCAUACAGGUUUUGAUCAAGCUGCGGGUGUGUUUUGUCCAGUGCUUUUCAGAAGCAGAUCGGGACAUUAUGACACUUGCUAACCAUUGGAAUUGCCCUGUGUUAUCAUCAGAUAGUGACUUUUGCAUUUUUGACCUGAAAACUGGGUUUUGCCCAUUGAAUAGCUUUCAGUGGAGAAAUAUGAACACUAUUAAGGGCACACAAAACUAUAUCCCUGCCAAAUGCUUUUCCCUUGAUGCAUUCUGCCAUCACUUCAGCAAUAUGAAUAAAGCUCUACUACCUCUCUUUGCGGUGCUAUGUGGAAAUGACCAUGUUAAUCUACCCAUCAUGGAGACAUUCUUAAGUAAAGCGCGUCUUCCUCUUGGAGCUACCAGUUCUAAAGGGAGGAGACACCACCGAAUCCUGGGACUUCUGAAUUGGUUGUCUCAUUUUGCCAACCCUACCGAAGCACUAGAUAAUGUUCUGAAAUACCUCCCAAAAAAGGAUCGAGAAAAUGUUAAGGAACUUCUCUGCUGUUCCAUGGAAGAAUACCAACAGUCCCAGGUGAAGCUACAGGACUUCUUCCAGUGUGGUACUUAUGUCUGUCCAGAUGCCUUGAAUCUUGGUUUACCAGAAUGGGUAUUAGUGGCUUUAGCUAAAGGCCAGCUAUCUCCUUUCAUCAGUGAUGCUUUGGUCCUAAGACGGACCAUUCUUCCCACACAGGUGGAAAACAUGCAGCAACCAAAUGCCCACAGAAUAUCUCAGCCCAUCAGGCAAAUCAUCUAUGGGCUUCUUUUAAAUGCCUCACCACAUCUGGACAAGACAUCCUGGAAUGCAUUGCCUCCUCAGCCUCUAGCUUUCAGUGAAGUGGAAAGGAUUAAUAAAAAUAUCAGAACCUCAAUCAUUGAUGCAGUAGAACUGGCCAAGGAUCAUUCUGACUUAAGCAGAUUGACUGAGCUCUCCUUGAGGAGGCGGCAGAUGCUUCUGUUAGAAACCCUGAAGGUGAAACAGACCAUUCUGGAGCCAAUCCCUACUUCACUGAAGUUGCCCAUUGCUGUCAGUUGCUACUGGUUGCAGCACACCGAGACCAAAGCAAAGCUACAUCAUCUACAAUCCUUACUGCUCACAAUGCUAGUGGGGCCCUUGAUUGCCAUAAUCAACAGCCCUGGAAAUGUGGACCCUGUACCCAGGCAGGCUCAGUGUCUUGCUCCUCGCUAGUUGGUAAAAGGUAAGGAAGAGCUGCAGGAAGAUGGUGCUAAGAUGUUGUAUGCAGAGUUCCAAAGAGUGAAGGCGCAGACACGGCUGGGCACAAGACUGGACUUAGACACAGCUCACAUCUUCUGUCAGUGGCAGUCCUGUCUCCAGAUGGGGAUGUAUCUCAACCAGCUGCUGUCCACUCCUCUCCCAGAGCCAGACCUAACUCGACUGUACAGUGGAAGCCUGGUGCACGGACUAUGCCAGCAACUGCUAGCAUCGACCUCUGUAGAAAGUCUCCUGAGCAUAUGUCCUGAGGCUAAGCAACUUUAUGAAUAUCUAUUCAAUGCCACAAGGUCAUAUGCCCCCGCUGAAAUAUUCCUACCAAAAGGUAGAUCAAAUUCAAAAAAAAAAAGGCAGAAGAAACAGAAUACCAGCUGUUCUAAGAACAGAGGGAGAACCACUGCACACACCAAGUGUUGGUAUGAGGGAAACAACCGGUUUGGGUUGUUAAUGGUUGAAAACUUAGAGGAACAUAGUGAGGCCUCCAACAUUGAAUAAAACUCAGUUUGCAUCAAACUAGAUGUAUUUAAUAUAAUCCUUACUUAAAAUUCUUCCGUUACCACCCUUGAAACAAUUAGCUUUUUCUUUAGGACUGACCUGUUAGGGGAUAAACAUCACAAUAAUCUGAAUUCCAAGUUAUUUUGUAUUUUGUUUUUAAUAAAUACAACCUGAUUUAAGAA